AUUUAUAUAGUUUAUAUAAAACAUAUCAUUUUCAAUGAUAAAAUAAGAUUAUCUUUAUAAAUU
rnacentral:tRNA from 1 species